rnacentral:rRNA from 1 species
UACGUAGGGGGCAAGCGUUGUCCGGAAUUAUUGGGCGUAAAGGGCGCGCAGGCGGUCUUCUAAGUCUGAUGUGAAAUCCCACGGCUUAACCGUGGAAGGUCAUUGGAAACUGGAGGACUUGAGUGCAGAAGAGGAGAGUGGAAUUCCAUGUGUAGCGGUGAAAUGCGUAGAGAUAUGGAGGAACACCAGUGGCGAAGGCGACUCUCUGGUUUGCAACUGACGCUGAGGCGCGAAAGUGUGGGUAGCGAACAGG